rnacentral:pre_miRNA from 1 species
ACCAAAAUUCCGUGCUUCUUAAUGUUCCCAUAUAUGAUGACAUAUAUAGAGUCAAUAUCAAUAUAUGUUACACAAACGAAAAACUAUGGAAUGUAAAGAAGUAUGGAGUUUUGGU